AGCAGCCGCGGUAAUUCCAGCUCCAAUAGCGUAUAUUAAAGUUGUUGCAGUUAAAGAGCUCGUAGUUGAACUUCGGGGUUUACCCAUUGGUCAGGCUUAAUUGUCUGCACUGGUGAGAUGAAUCUCUACCUUCUGAGGAACUUUCAUGCCAUUUAUUUGGUGUGAUGGGAAAUCAGGACUGUUACUUUGAAAACAUUAGAGUGUUUAAAGCAGGCUAACGUCUGAAUACAUUAGCAUGGAAUAAUGAAAUAGGACGGACUGAUUCUAUUUUGUUGGUUUCCAGGAUCACCGCAAUGAUUAAUAGGGAUAGUUGGGGGCAUUAGUAUUCAAUUGUCAGAGGUGAAAUUCUUGGAUUUAUUGAAGACUAACUACUGCGAAAGCAUUUGCCAAGGAUGUUUUCAUUAAUCAAGAACGAAAGUUAGGGGAUCGAAGACGAUCAGAUACCGUCGUAGUCUUAACCAUAAACUAUGCCGACUAGGGAUCGGACGAAGUUGAUUUUAUAAUGACGCGUUUGGCACCUUACG
rnacentral:rRNA from 1 species